rnacentral:rRNA from 1 species
GACGUAGGGUCCGAGCGUUGCCCGGAGUUACUGGGCGUAAAGGGCGCGUAGGCGGCUUUGUGCGUCACCCGUGAAAGCCCCCGGCUCAACCGGGGAGGGUCGGGUGAAACGGCGGAGCUGGAGGCAGCGAGAGGCUGGUGGAAUUCCCGGAGUAGUGGUGAAAUGCGUAGAGAUCGGGAGGAACACCGGUGGCGAAGGCGGCCAGCUGGCGCUGACCUGACGCUGAGGCGCGAAGGCGUGGGGAGCGAACGGG